CAGGCCGAGAGGUCCCAUCACUGGAGCGUCUGCUGAGCAGAGUCUUAAAACAGUAAAGCAGGAGUUUUGUGCAGUGUUCUUUGUUCUUAAUAUUUGGAUAAGACUGUUUUAAAUAUAUUGAAUCAAUAGUUACUUGAGAGUUACUCAAAAUUUUCAGAAGAACAAAACGUGUUUUCUAAAAAUUUGUUGUACCUUGGGGUGAGCAUGGCAUCUGCAGCUCUGGAAAUCGUGUGCUGUUGACGACACAGCGUUAACAGGGUGUGGUUAUUCUUUAAAAGGGGCGGGCUUGUGUAAUGUUCUGUCCUGUUCUGUACGGGGACGUCUGCAGUGAAAAGGUGUGAGGAGUGACCUUUGCCCCACAGCUCUCCUCUGUGCCUGUAGCUCAUGUGUGUGCCCCUCUCCUCUUUGUCACUGCUUCCCUUGCCCUGGAUGUGGUUGGUGCACGGGGGUCACCUUAGACCACAGGGACUGUCUGGUUAACUCACGAAGAAAUGGAAACGCUCGCAGCCACGCCGCAAACGGAAGAUGAGGAGGGAAGCUGGGCUCAGACACUCGCAUAUGGGGACAUGAACCACGAGUGGAUUGGGAACGAGUGGCUGCCCA